rnacentral:lncRNA from 1 species
GCUUCGGUCCAAAUGAAUAUCCUAAUCCUGAAGAUGUAACGAGCAAUUUGGUAAAAUAAAUUUGUCGUAAUCUUUUACGGUUGCGAAGGAGUAGUGGCCACAAGAAAAACAGUGUUUGGGGAGAUAACUCUUACAACGUAAAGUAUUUUGUUACGCAGUUGUAAAUUUUUAAAGCGUAUAAACUAUACGAUAUCAUAUUCCAAAUAUCUAAGCGACAUCUUUUGAAACAUCAAUACUACGCAAGAAAAAAAUUAGGCGGAAGAAAAAAAAAAAAAUAAUAAUAAUAAUUAAAAACCAAUUGUUCAGAGAACAAUUGAAGGUCUUUCCACUAGUAAAGAU